rnacentral:rRNA from 1 species
GAGUUUGAUCGUGGCUCAGGACGAACGCUGGCGGCGCGCCUAACACAUGCAAGUCGAACGGAGUUAUUCUGAAUGAAGUUUUCGGAUGGAUUUUGGAUUAACUUAGUGGCGAACGGGUGAGUAACGCGUGAGUAACCUGCCCUGGAGUGGGGAACAACAGUUAGAAAUGACUGCUAAUACCGCAUAUGCCUUAAGCAUCACAUGGUGCUAGAGGGAAAGGACAAUCCGCUGAUAGAUGGGCUUGCGUCUGAUUAGCUAGUUGGUGGGUAAUGGCCUACCAAGGCGACGAUCAGUAGCCGAACUGAGAGGUUGAACGACCACAUUGGGACUGAGAUACGGCCCAGACUCCUACGGGAGGCAGCAGUCGGGAAUAUUGCGCAAUGGAGGAACUCUGACGCAGUGACGCCGCGUGCAGG